GUCCAANNUGUAAACGAUGUCGAUUUGAAGGUUGUAGUCUNAGAGCUAUGGCUUUCGGAGCUAACGUGUUAAAUCGACCGCCUGGGGAGUACGGCCGCAAGGUUAAAACUCAAAUGAAUUGACGGGGGCCCGCACAAGCGGUGGAGCAUGUGGUUUAAUUCGAUGCAACGCGAAGAACCUUACCUACCCUUGACAUCCAAAGAACUGCGUAGAGAUAUGCA
rnacentral:rRNA from 1 species